UCCUUCUGGGAUUCUCUAUUGGCUGAACUCAGCCAGAAGCUGCCAAGGGAGACCCCCACAACUGGAUGCAGCCCACUGAAGUCAGCUUCCUGGGGUGCGUAGCUGAAGGUAGCAGGGAGCAAAAAGAAUCUGAAGGGGAAGUGAACAAUGUAGAGCGUAUCUGUGCUGAAGACGUAAGGAGAGAGUGGAGGUCAGAAGCUGGCAUGGUCCCUGGUGCAUGUAUCAGCCGCUAAAGAAGUGGAGAGUAUGAACAUAAGCAAGAGGAAGUGAUGAGUAUCCCUUCCAGGAGAACUCUAAGAGGCAGUGAGUGAUUUGCUGGGCUCCCAAGCCCUCUGCUCUGAUGACAGCAAAGCCCCAAAUCAUGGUGCCUCCAUCAGUCGGGACCCCUCAGCAGAGCCAGCUUCACAGCUGGAGUGGAUGAAUCAGAACUUUCCCCAUGGGAGCAUUUAUAAAAAGGGGACACCCAGCGCAGAAGAUGUUUUCCAGGGAGAUCUCGGGGAGCCCAACAAGCCAAGAAGAGCAGAGCAAAGCAUUCCAAGGAAGGACUCUAAGUCUGCAACCGAGCACACACGAGGGUAGCCUACGCAUGUACGUCUUGCAGUGAUGGCAAGGAGCAGGAGAAAGAAAGCCCAUCCAAACAAGCAUAUUGGAAGCCUAUGUAUCCCAUAAGCUGACAUCUUGUUGCCCAAAGCAUGUCAUGUGCGUGGUCCAGAGUCAGUGUUGAAGGGCUCUGCAAAAUCACAUGGUAAAGACUGUGGUUUCAGGGAGGAGUGAAGAUUUGUGCGCAUUGCUCCAAUUGACAACCAUGGCACUAGGCUCAGGCCACACUUCUUCCUAACAAGAGAGCAAGUCAAAGCGUGGUUAGUUAAAGUCCAUACAAAAACUCACUUUAACAGGCCUCCUCUGGAUUGAACAGCUGAUAUUAAGUCAUAAGGUACCACAUCAGAAAGAUACUGGGUAUCUUUGGUUCAGCAAUUCCAUCACCAGGGACUUUUUCAUCCUAAGGAAAUCACUGCACGGUGGACAAAGAUAUAUGCAUAAGGAUGCUCCUUCUGGCCAAAGACCAAAAACAUAACUGGCCAUCAGUAAAAGCCAAGUGAGUAAACUAUGGUCUAUAUAUGCAAUGAUCAAAGAAAUAAAGGAAAAUAUAUAAUUCUCUAGAAAGUAUCAAGUAAUAUGGAAGGAAACUAGGCAGGGGAGGAGA
rnacentral:lncRNA from 1 species